rnacentral:tRNA from 1 species
GUCCCUGUAGCGCAACGGAUAGCGCGUUGGACUUCUAAUCCAAAGGUCGUUGGUUCAAAUCGCACCUGGGAACG